rnacentral:rRNA from 1 species
GACGAACGCUGGCGGCGUGCUUAACACAUGCAAGUCGAACGAGGCCCCUCCUUCGGGAGGGUGUCCUAGUGGCGAACGUGUGAGUAACACGUGGGCAACCUGCCCCCGGCUCUGGGAUAACCCCAAGAAAUUGGGGCUAAUACCGGAUAUGACCGCUGACCGCAUGGUCUGGUGGUGGAAAGUUUUUCGGCUGGGGAUGGGCCCGCGGCCUAUCAGCUUGUUGGUGGGGUAGUGGCCUACCAAGGCGACGACGGGUAGCCGGCCUGAGGGGGUGACCGGCCACACUGGGACUGAGACACUGCCCAGACUCCUACGGGAGGCAGCAGUGGGGAAUAUUGCGCAAUGGGCGGAAGCCUGACGCAGCGACGCCGCGUGGGGGAUGACGGCCUUCGGGUUGUAAACCUCUUUCAGCAGGGACGAAGCGAAAGUGACGGUACCUGCAGAAGAAGCACCGGCCAACUACGUGCCAGCCGCCGCCGUAACAC